UGAAAAGAUCCGAUCAUUUCAAAUGGAGCUU
rnacentral:piRNA from 1 species